CCUAGAAAUAGCGAUGAAGAGGCGGGACCCUUCUCAUCAGAUGAGGACUGAGCCUCCUCAUCUCCACUCUUCCUUUUCUUUUCCUUUUUUUCUUCUUUUUUUUUGUAAGGUGGCACUUCAGUAGCCAUCUUUUUUGUGUAAAUAUUUUUUUUGUAAGAUGGCACUUCGGAUGCCAUCUUUUUUUUUCUAUAAAUAUUUGAAUGGAAAGAGAUUAUUCUUCCUGUCAUUUGCAUUCUCUUUAUUUAUGCAUGCAUAUUUUUUACUCAACACGCAGAGGCUAGCCUUGACUUACGAAACUUAGAGUUGUCCCAACCAGUAAGGUAUAUAAUGCCAUUCCGACCUUAAGGAUUUUAGAUGAAUCCAUCCUGAUUUAAAAGACCGAACUUUAUCAUGGAACCAGAGCUAAACUAUCCCGAGCAGAGCAGCCUUGAUGGCAAUGGUCCCAAUCAAAAGGGUCUUUUCAAGUCAAUAGAUCGAAGGCAAUUAUUCGAGUAGCUCCCUUGCUCCGCUUAUUGAUAUGAGCAGCAUUUUCACUUCGCUCUUCACACGAGCGGCAUUUUUGCUCCGCUCUUCAUAUGAGCAACAUUUUUGCUCUGCUCACAAUUGUAGGCCGAGGGUCCUUUCGGUUAGUCCUCCGCUUCUCGCAUGACUUGGACCAUGCAGGGAUCUUGUUAGUUAGCCCCACCGCAAAGUCACCGAGAUAUUGAUCAGUUUUUCAGGUCAUUCUUAUGUGCAAACAAGAAUUAAUAAAUCCAAAGCUUCAUCUAUGUGAGAAUAAGAUGUUACAACACCCUCAUUAAUAAUACACACAGAGAUUAGCCAAAUUCCACAGCCUAGGAAGUGGAGUGCCAUCAAAUUGCUUCAGCCGAUAGAUCCCAGGGUGCACUACUUCAUCUACCUGGUAAGGACCUUCCCAAUUAAGUGAUAACUUUUCUUGCUCAGUGGGUUGUGAUACCUCAGCUCACUGCAAUACCAGAUCAUCAGUUUGAAACUCCUUGGUCUUGACUUGGACAUUAUAAUACUUGGCCACUCUCUGGCGAUAGGUAGCCAUCCUCAUACUGGCGCGCUCCCUGCUUUCUUCGAUCAAGUCAAGGUUAGUCCGGAAGUACACUAAGUUAGUGUCUUCAUUAUAUUCUUCUACUCUAAGGGAUAGGAGCCCAAACUCUACAUAAAUGACUACCUCCGUCCCAAAUGCAAGAUUAAAGGAGUCUCGCCGAUUGGGAGUCUCUGAGUGGUUCGGUAAGCCCACAGUAUAUAGUGAAGAUCAUCUACCUAUGACCCCCUAGUCCGAUCUAUUCUAGACUUUAAGCCUUACAAAAGAGUUCUGUUGGUUAUCUCUACCUCUUCAUUUACCUGUGGGUGGCCGAUCGAGGUGAAGUGGUGCUCUAUUCUAUGCUCUCUACAAAAUUCACAAAGUGGAGCACCAUUGAACUAUCUGCCGUUGUCUGUAAUCAAUAUCCUGGGAAGACCAUAGUGGUAGAUGAUGGAUUUCCAAAUACAAUCUUUUAUUCUUAUCUCGACGAUGCGAACAAGAGGUUCAAUCUCGAUCUAUUUUACAAAAUAGUCGAUGACCAUCAAGAGAAACUUGUGCUAAUCCGACGUGAGAGGUAGGGCUGGAAGUGGGCUCGGACCGAUCCGAGACCCAUCGGGUCGGACUGACUUCAGACCGGAUUUCAGGCUCAGCUCGAAACCAUUCAGGCCAGGCUUAGACCAAAAAAUAGGAUCCAUUUUACUUUCAAACUGGGCUCGGGCCUACCUUUGGCUCGACCCAGACCCGGCCCAAGCCCAAUUAUGGUCCGAAUUUAAGGCUUCUAUCCAGUACAAUUCCAUCGUUCAAUCUCCCUUCCGAGUCCUAAUUUUUUCCAUCGAGGUCUUGUCUCGAAGAGCCCUAGCCCCAUCCAUCAAUCAUUAUCGUCCCACUCCUGAUCCUCCCUGCUCUCCCGACGACCAUCGGACUCAACCGUCCUCUCCUCUCAAUUUUAGUAGUGCCCCCUCCAAUCUCCCGCAGGUACUCUCCUUUCCAUAGGUCUGCCUCCAUCAUGCCCGUUCACUCCCGAAUUGCCGCUCUCUCAGACCUCGACUGUCACUCCCAAGCCCCCCAUCUCCCUCCGACCGCUGCUCCUAAGCCCCCAUCUCCCUCCAACCGUCGCUCUCUCGAGCCUCGACUAUCACUCCCAAGCCUCUGUCUCCC
rnacentral:lncRNA from 1 species